AGCGGAGGGAAAAAACGCCCUGCCCCCGCGUCGCUCCCGCUGGGGCGACUCGGGCGGCGCCCAAACCCUAGCGCCGCCAGGCCCCUCCUCCCACCUUUCCCCCUCCCUUGCCGCCACCUGAGGUGACCGCCGGAAAGCCGCGCGGCUGCUGAGGACGGUGGCGGCGAGGAUCUCGUCGCUCCGCUUCGCUGCGGAGGACUACAGGACCGGGGCGGCGGCCCUCCAGGCGAGGCGACGGCGCACGCGGCAGGCGUCGGCGCGGGCGACUCUGGCCGUCGGCCGCGACCUCUUGGGAGGUUGGACCGCGGCGGGUGGCGGCUGCGGCUUGGGGGCCCCCUCCCCGACAGAUCGAGUUGCUCCUGGUGGCUUUCCUGCUUCUCUCUGGGCGUCCUUAGGCCGCGGCGGUUUGGCCGGUGUGGUGUGCUCUCCCUUUCCUGGUGGUCGUGUUCUGGGGCUGCCUCGGAGCUCAAGUUCAGCACUUCCCUAGCUCUCGGGUGAGCUCUUCCCAUGUCCGAUGGUUCGACGCCUUCGAGCCAAGGCGAGAGGGUAGGGGCCCUCUUCGGUGUGGGAACCGGAAUGUGUCUUGGUGUUUGCAGUUCAGGGGGCCUUCCUCGCUCAUGAAUCUCCAUCCUGCUCGUUGGCAGUGCCUCGUCGCGCCUUCGCUGCUCGUUGCCCUCGGUGCCGGAGAGUUGUAGUCUUCGCUUUGCAAGUCCCUUUGGUGCUUGCUAGGAGUGUUGAGUUGUAAGCCUUUCAGGGUGUGCCCUUGUAUCGUUCGGCCGUUGUGUUGUGUGGUGUGGUGUUGUGUGUGGGUGUGUGUUCGGUUCGGUUCGUGUAAUUCCUGGCCGGUUGAUGGCUUUGUUAAUUCAAAGCUGGGCUCCUAGCGAGCCUUCUGUUUAAAA